CCCAGUUGCAAUUUCGUAGCUUCCAACUGUGAUCUAAAGAGCGUCCAGUUGCUGUACCACAUCUCCUUUCAUCUCCAUCUACUGGGGACAGGAAUAUGUAGUCCAGCAGAGGAAGAGAAAGAGCCUGUGUGGGUUCCAACUGCUGAUUUCUGCCUGCAAGAGGAGGAAUGAUAUUGCAGUCCUUUUGACUCAGCAGACUGUAUAGAGUUGAUGAACAAGGAAUCUAAUUGACACUCUGGUGAACUCAACCUAAGCUUUUGGAACUUUGAGUCAUUUCUCACUGCAUUUCUGUGGGGACUGACCUGUUUAGAUUUAAUUUCUUUCUUUUUGUUAUAUUUAUGUAUAACUGUGAAGAUAAUAUAUGUAGAUCAUGAAGUAGUCUUGUUGUUAGUCAGAAAUUAAGCUAUUAUUACCAUGUUUCUUUCUCAUUCUAAAAUUUUAUAGAGUUGGUGCUCAAAUAAGUUCAUUUGUCUUGUUCUUUUUGGACUUGACUGUGGGUAGGUUGCCCCGUGCAAUCCUUGAUGAAAAUCCUCAAAGA